GACAGAGGGUGCAAACGUUGUUCGGAAUUACUGGGCGUAAAGCGCGUGUAGGCGGCUAAGUAAGUCGGGCGUGAAAUCCCACGGCUCAACCGUGGAAGUGCACUCGAAACUGCAUAGCUAGAGUCCUGGAGAGGAAGGUGGAAUGCUUGGUGUAGAGGUGAAAUUCGUAGAUAUCAAGCGGAACACCGGUGGCGAAGGCGGCCUUCUGGGUCAAGACUGACGCUCAUGCACGAAAGCGUGGGGAGCGAACCGG
rnacentral:rRNA from 1 species